rnacentral:rRNA from 1 species
GGCCAGACUCCUACGGGAGGCAGCAGUGGGGAAUAUUGCACAAUGGGCGAAAGCCUGAUGCAGCGACGCCGCGUGAAGGAUGAAGUAUUUCGGUAUGUAAACUUCUAUCAGCAGGGAAGAAAAUGACGGUACCUGACUAAGAAGCCCCGGCUAACUACGUGCCAGCAGCCGCGGUAAUACGUAGGGGGCAAGCGUUAUCCGGAUUUACUGGGUGUAAAGGGGGCGCAGACGGCGAUGCAAGCCAGGAGUGAAAGCCCGGGGCCCAACCCCGGGACUGCUCUUGGAACUGCGUGGCUGGAGUGCAGGAGGGGCAGGCGGAAUUCCUGGUGUAGCGGUGAAAUGCGUAGAUAUCAGGAGGAACACCGGUGGCGAAGGCGGCCUGCUGGACUGCAACUGACGUUGAGGCCCGAAAGCGUGGGGAGCAAACAGGAUUAGAUACCCCGGUA